rnacentral:lncRNA from 1 species
CGUUUUACAUGACCGAGAUUUACUUCGAAAAUUAUUUGAAGAAUAAUAACGGAAAUUUAUGUAGUAAAAUUAUACAAUUUUUCCCUCGUUCCUUGUUUUACACCUACAGUAAAAUCCUAAUAUAAUUUUGGUGAAACGCAUGCGUAGUCUGAAAUGUGACUGACAUUAAAUAUAAUUUUGUUAUAAAUAAAAGGCCACUGAUCAACGAAAACUAAGAGUAAUAUAAAAUAUAUUUGGACAGAGAACUAGAACAGUAAAUUCUUGUACAAAAAUAGUAAUUUGAAGAUUAUAUAAUUAUAGUAAUAACACAUGGAUAACCAGUAUAGAAAUAGACUGGCUCUUGCAGCUCUCAUAAACAUCCAAGUAGGAUGGGCGUUUUGGGCAGUAAAUAAAAGAUUUACGAAGAAAAAGCGGUCUACAUGGACAAAAGAAUGGCUACGAAGGAGGCAAGACAUGUUGUAAUCAACGAAGUUGUAAUUAUAAAGGAAAGGGUAUGUUAUCGUAAACACAAAGGCGUUAUUUAACGUUCUGCGCAGAAACUCGCGCAGUUUACUCUGAAAACUUUCUAGAAUAUAGAACGGGUUCUAAAUUUUUAUAUUGAGAAUUAUCAUGGGAAAUUUCAGAGUAAAUCUUGUGUUUUAC